AAAAAUAUAAUUAGAUGAAAGCAUGGGUAGUUUAGGUAUUUGUAUUAUUACAAAUCAUUUGGAUGGAGAUAGAGAUAAGCAAACGAACAUCUCAUUCGGAUGGUCCAGUCAAAUGAACCGACUAAAAAUGAAACGAACAAGAGUUAAAUAAAUCAUCCAAAUAGACAUGUUGAAUGGAUCAGUUGGAUGGAUCUAUCAAAUGUAGAAACGAACAGGGCCUUAAAACCUUGACCAAAGAAAUCU
rnacentral:sRNA from 1 species